CAACUCGCCUGCAUGAAGUUGGAAUUGCUAGUAAUCGCGAAUCAGAAUGUCGCGGUGAAUACGUUCCCGGGCCUUGUACACACCGCCCGUCACACCAUGAGAGUCGAUAACACCCGAAGCCUGUGAGCUAACCGUAAGGAGGCAGCAGUCGAAGGUGGGGGUUGAUGAUUGGGGUGAAGUCGUAACAAGGUACC
rnacentral:rRNA from 1 species